ACUGUUCCCUGGGAUUGGCUUUGGGCUUUUCCUGCGCAGCUUAGGUGGAAGGCGAAGAAGGCCUCCUUCCGGGGGGCCCGAGCCAUCAGUGAGAUACCACUCUGAAAGAGCUAGGAUUCUAACCUUGUGUCAGGACCUAUGGGCUAAGGGGCAGUCUCAGGUAGACAGUUUCUAUGGGGCGUGU
rnacentral:ncRNA from 1 species